UACGUAGGGUGCGAGCGUUGUCCGGAAUUACUGGGCGUAAAGCGCACGUAGGCGGCUUUCUAAGUCGGGGGUGAAAUCCUGGAGCUCAACUCCAGAACUGCCUUCGAUACUGGAAAGCUCGAGUCCGGGAGAGGUGAGUGGAACUGCGAGUGUAGAGGUGAAAUUCGUAGAUAUUCGCAAGAACACCAGUGGCGAAGGCGGCUCACUGGCCCGGUACUGACGCUGAGGUGCGAAAGCGUGGGGAGCAAACAGG
rnacentral:rRNA from 1 species